CCUUGGACUCUGACCUCUGGCUGCCCUGCUCCUGGGCAGACUCAUGUUCAGGCCUCUUCAUUUCUAGGAGACCUCCCUUGGGGAACAUGUCCUCUCCCUUCAUUUUGUCUCUUCUCCAGGGUAGAGCAGCCACCAGUGUCUUCCUUCACUUGUGUCAAGGUCAAAUUCCCUCUGGACCAAGCCAGCCCUCUCAAAAGGCUCUCAGGCUCUCAGAGGGACAGAUGUCUUGGAGCUUUCAUCCUGAAGAGCCUGAACAAACAGCCAAUGAUAGGUGUGGAGCUGCUUGGCCUGGACCAGCCAGCCUUGGAUAGAGCAGAUUGUGACAUCCAAGGUGGAUACAUUGCCUAGCCCAUUGUGGAGUAUUCCUGGACGCCUAUCCAUGCCAGAAACACAUAGUGAGUAGCUGUUUGCUGAACUUUAACUGAAUGGGUGAUUUGAGGUGACCUCUGUGGUCUAAGACUCUCUGUCUCUGUCUCUGUCUUUCUCUGUCUCUCUCCUCUCUCGUUUCUCCCGUUCUCUCCCUCUCCUCUCCCUU
rnacentral:lncRNA from 1 species